rnacentral:rRNA from 1 species
UACGGGGGGGGCAAGCGUUGUUCGGAAUUACUGGGCGUAAAGGGCUCGUAGGCGGCCAACUAAGUCAGACGUGAAAUCCCUCGGCUUAACCGGGGAACUGCGUCUGAUACUGGAUGGCUUGAGUUCGGGAGAGGGAUGCGGAAUUCCAGGUGUAGCGGUGAAAUGCGUAGAGAUGUGGAGGAACACCAGUGGCGAAGGCGACUCUUUGGCCUGUAACUGACGCUGAGGCGCGAAAGCGUGGGGAGCAAACAGG